UACGUAGGGCGCAAGCGUUAUCCGGAAUUAUUGGGCGUAAAGAGCUCGUAGGCGGUUUGUCGCGUCUGCCGUGAAAGUCCGGGGCUCAACUCCGGAUCUGCGGUGGGUACGGGCAGACUAGAGUGAUGUAGUGGAGACUGGAAUUCCUGGUGUAGCGGUGAAAUGCGCAGAUAUCAGGAGGAACACCGAUGGCGAAGGCAGGUCUCUGGGCAUUAACUGACGCUGAGGAGCGAAAGCAUGGGGAGCGAACAGG
rnacentral:rRNA from 1 species